CUCUUCAAUCAAUUCCUUCCAAGAACUUGUACCACUUCUCAAGCUCUUCAAGGAAAGAAUUGUUGCUUCAACGAGUCACGUGUGGCUUAUUAUCUUGAACAAGAACCUCACCCAUCAUCCUCCAAAAGAUUGAACCACCUUUUCCAGAUUUGAAGGUGCAUCAAAUGAAGACGGUAGGAAACCAAGCAUAUGGGAUACCUUUGCCCGUGGUGGAAAUGCAAAUAUGUACGAGGAUGAUGGAGAUAUUGCGUGCGAUGGAUAUCACAAAUACAAGGGUUCUAAAUCCAUAAACAUUUGGUGAUUUUCCUUAUAUAAUGAAAAAG
rnacentral:lncRNA from 1 species